AUGUGGGCGAUCUGGACCCUCAGAAAUAAAAGAUACCAUGGGGAGACUACCAUGAACAUCUCACAAGCAUGCAGAUGGGCCUGGGAGAUGGCACCAGAUAUGAUCCAAACAUCAAAUUCUUGCAAAGGAGAAAAAAAAACUAGAAUCAUGAAAUGGAAACGCCCCACUGUAGGUUUUGUAAAGGUGAAUGUUGAUGCAUCUUUCAAUUUGGAUACUCAACAAGGAGCCAAAGGGGUGAUCAUUCGGGAUGACCAGGGUCAGGUUAUUGCACAAUCUUUCCCUCCAGACUUCAUCGGUGAGCCUGUCGGUGUACUUCUCCUGUGGCUGCCGCUUCGGCGGCCGGUGUAA
rnacentral:rRNA from 1 species